UACGGAGGGUGCAAGCGUUGUCCGGAUUUAUUGGGUUUAAAGGGUGCGUAGGCGGCUUAUUAAGUCAGGGGUGAAAGACUGCAGCUCAACUGUAGCAGUGCCUUUGAUACUGAUGAGCUUGAGUACAGAUGAGGCAGGCGGAAUGGGUGGUGUAGCGGUGAAAUGCAUAGAUACCAUCCAGAACACCGAUUGCGAAGGCAGCCUGCUAAACUGUAACUGACGCUGAGGCACGAAAGCGUGGGGAUCGAACAGG
rnacentral:rRNA from 1 species